UCAGCUCGUGUCGUGAGAUGUUCGGUUAAGUCCGCUAACGAGCGCAACCCUCGCUGUGUGUUACAAGUGUCACACGGAACUGCCGGUCAUAAACCGGAGGAAGGUGGGGAUGACGUCAAGUCAGCAUGGCCUUUAUAUCCUGGGCUACACACACGCUACAAUGGGAAGGGACAAUAGGUUGCGAAGCCGCGAGGCGGAGCCAAUCCAGCAAAACUUCCCUCAGUUCAGAUUGCAGGCUGCAACUCGCCUGCAUGAAGUUGGAGUUGCUAGUAAACGCAGGUCAGCCAUACUGCGUUGAAUACGUUCCCGGGGCUU
rnacentral:rRNA from 1 species